CCAGUACCCAAAAGGACCAAGCAGAUAAAUUUGUAGAAAAUGAUCAAGGCACUCCAAUGGUUUCCAAUUUUUAAGGCAAUUUAUUUGGACCAGGAACUACAAAGCAACGUUUCAGCCCCAACAGGGCUUUUUUCAAGCUAAUGUAGCACAUACAAAAACAUAAUAUAUAAGUGUAUACAAUAUUUAAAUAAGUGACAAACAUGUGGUAUAUUAUCAAACAUAUGUCAUAAACAAGUGAUAGUAGUAACACUAAUUAAAAGAUUAGUUAGCUCUCCAAUAGUAAUCACAUUAUCAGGGGGUGUCAAAGAGAUCAAAAGGUAUCAGCCAAUCCUAUCACAAAUUCAAC